rnacentral:snRNA from 1 species
GUGUUUGCAUCAGCAGCAUGUGUGCUNAUAUUGGAAUGGGACAGAAUUAGCAUGGCACCUGCACAAGGAUAACAGGAAAUUUCAUGAAGUGUUUCAUGUUCUU